UACGAAGGGGGCUAGCGUUGCUCGGAAUUACUGGGCGUAAAGGGAGCGUAGGCGGAUCGUUAAGUUGGGGGUGAAAGCCCGGGGCUCAACCUCGGAAUUGCCUUCAAUACCGGCGAUCUUGAGUAUGGGAGAGGUGUGUGGAACUCCGAGUGUAGAGGUGAAAUUCGUAGAUAUUCGGAAGAACACCAGUGGCGAAGGCGACACACUGGCCCAUUACUGACGCUGAGGCUCGAAAGCGUGGGGAGCAAACAGG
rnacentral:rRNA from 1 species